CGGUUGCUGCCGUUGCUCCAAACGACACAGAAAUCUUCACGCAUGUAAGUUUGUGCUGCAAAUCUUCAACGUGGAUGAAUCUUAGCAUCGUCUGACUGCAGUCAAAUAUCCAGACUGCAGAGAGGAAGACAGAUCGACAGCAGGGCAGAGAUGAAGACUGCUAAUGACACCAUGCACUGCAGCGGGAGGAGAGACUGGCUGCUGAUAUUGGCUGUUGAGACGCGUGUCUAAACCUGCGCCCUCAUCUCAGACUGCGGCUGGCAUAUUAUCCAGGAUGAGGACAGUAAUAAAUGAGUCGCUGUCCCGCUGCAUCAUGCAGGAAGUCUCGCUCAAGGUGAUUCCACGAUUCUUCAGUUUUCCGCUCUCCAGAAGGAUUUCCGUGAUUUAUGAAAUGCUCCAGUUCGGGUAGGAAAAGGACACAGAGGACAGGAAGGAGGGGGAUUAUAAUGACAUCACAUAGGCAAGGCUAGAACACUAUGAUCUAGCGAUGAGUGAUAGCAUUUAUUAUCUUUUCUAUCUGACACCAAGUACUUUCAAGACCAAUUUUGAUAGCAAUACUGAUAUCUCUAUUAAACAGAAAAUCUGAGAUUUCUGUGAGGAAAAAAAGGGUGAUUAAAAGCUUUCAUUAAUAUUAAAUAAAACAAACAAAGAAACAAAUCACGUUUCUUCAAAGCUCUAUAACUUUUCUUCUGUGGAACACAAAAGAAGAUAUUUAGAACAACGUGCAAGCUGCUCUUUUCUAUAUAAUGAAAAUCAAUGGGGAAGCUACUCCUGGUCCAAAAAGAGAAGCUUGAACAUGAUUUCAACAAGUGCGACAUGUUCUUGGAUCAACAACUUUGUUGAUCCUGGAACAACAAUCCAAUCAACCAAUCAGAUUUGAGGGACAAGUUUACAGUUUAUGUCAAGUUUAGGCUUACAGGGUUAGGUGCUUCUAAAUCAGUGUUAUUCAGCGAUCAUUUCCCUCUGAUUCUAGAGACAACUUAUGGGUGGGGUUAUGUUUAGGGAUAGGGAUAGGAUCAAUUUUUUGAAAGGAAUGUUGUUCCAGGAUCAACAAAAUAUGUUGACCCAAGAACGCAUUUAACUUGGCAAAAUCAGGAUGUGCCAAUGGCACACUGCUCUGACCCACUUCAACCACUAGUAUGAAAGUAUACAAUUAUAACUUAAGUGUAAAUACAUUAAUGUUGCUCAGAGGUGGCAUAAAACAGUCUAUGUCAAGACACCUAAAUGCCACUUCAGAAGCACUUCUGUGCCACCUUUUGAGUAUAAAUUUAGCAAUACAGGUUCAAAAUGACAUGGUGGGAAAAUAAAUGAUUACAUUAUUUUCAUUUUAGGGUGAAUUAUCCCUUUAAAUAAGGCUAAGCUGCAAAUUAUCAGACAUUAUGAUUAAAAUAUACUAAAUGGAACAAAGUUUUUAGUCCAAAGGAAUGGAAGAAGGAAACGGCAUUAUCUUCACAUUAAACUUUUUGAUAUACCCAAUUUUCAGGGUAAAUAAAUAAUCAAGAAAAUGAUUAUUAAAAGCACCUCACUAUCAAUAUUAUUACAUAAGGAUACACCCAUCCAAACAAUCCACACAUGCUCCAAUCAAUAUGUUUAAAACACAUGAAAGCACUUACUGAGCUGCCAAUCUCAGUAAUCUUUGCACUGUAUAGGAGAAAUGCUCUGUGGGCUUCAACAUAGGCAAAGAAGAUCAUCCGCACUGCACCUGUUGAUAUUCAGGUUGCUAUAAUGCCUCUGUCAUUUAGUUGAAUAAUCUGUGCAUGUGAAGGAAAUAAUCCAGGGUAAUGCAGGUCAGGGUAAUCUGGGGUGGUUAUAUUGGGCAAAUAAUCUCACCGCAUCAAUGUGCUGAGUAAACCCAAAUGUUUCUGCUCUGUAAUCUUCAACGAGUUGAGUUAAAUGGAAGCUCUGAGAAAUUAAAUGUUAUAGGCUUACGUGACAGUUACCCCUUAACUGUUACCUCCAUUUUUGAGCAUAGACGUGAAAAUGCACUAUCCAAACUUAAAUCAUUGUAAUUCAAGAAUGCUUUGGAAUAUAGACCAAAGUUUGGUCUUGUUUUAAAGAAGGCACUCAGCAGAUUGUUGCUAAAGUAAAAACACUUUUAAAAAAAUGAAAGUAUGUUAUAGAAGUUUAAAUUUACUGUAAAUCAAAUGUAUAUAAAAUAAAUAAUAUUGUAUAAUAAUUAUAUAAAAUACAUUUUACAAAAUAUUUUUACUCUAAAAUUGAUAUAAAAUCAAAGCCAUACAGGUUUACAAAGCUAACCCAAGUUGUGUUCCAAAUUUAAAGUUGAUAUCACAAUUCAAGUUCCCAUGAGAUUUUGUUUAGCCACCGUGUCACCAAAGACUAUAGAAUAACACAAGACGUGUCACUCGUAUUGUUUUGAAUGGGAGAAAGUGUAACGCGCAAUAUGGCGGAAUAAGUCCCGCCUUCUAAUUAAGAGCCAAUCGCCGACUGGUAAAGUCUUCGCAUCACUUCAGUGGCCUUUAGAAUCACCGGUUUCUAUAGAAACAGUCAGACGCGCGCCUCCAAAGAGACGCGCAUUUAGGUCUGCGCAUGCGCAUUAGCUUGAUCCAGCCUGAAAAAUACAGUUUUUUUGU